rnacentral:rRNA from 1 species
GACGAACGCUGGCGGCGUGCUUAACACAUGCAAGUCGAACGGAAAGGCCCUGCUUUUGUGGGGUGCUCGAGUGGCGAACGGGUGAGUAACACGUGAGUAACCUGCCCUUGACUUUGGGAUAACUUCAGGAAACUGGGGCUAAUACCGGAUAGGAGCUCCUGCUGCAUGGUGGGGGUUGGAAAGUUUCGGCGGUUGGGGAUGGACUCGCGGCUUAUCAGCUUGUUGGUGGGGUAGUGGAUUACCAAGGCUUUGACGGGUAGCCGGCCUGAGAGGGUGACCGGCCACAUUGGGACUGAGAGACGGCCCAGACUCCUACGGGAGGCAGCAGUGGGGAAUAUUGCACAAUGGGCGGAAGCCUGAUGCAGCAACGCCGCGUGCGGGAUGACGGCCUUCGGGGUGUAAACCGCUUUCGCCUGUGACGAAGCGUGAGUGACGGUAAUGGGUAAAGAAGCACCGGCUAACUACGUG